AACGAACGCUGGCGGUAUGCUUAACACAUGCAAGUCGUACGUGAAGGGGGCUUCGGCCCCUGGAAAGUGGCGCACGGGUGAGUAACACGUGGAUAAUCUACCCGGUGGUUUGGGAUAACAUCUCGAAAGGGGUGCUAAUACCAAAUAAGCCCACGACAUCUUAGGAUGACGAGGGAAAAGGGGGCUUUUGCUCCUGUCACCGGAUGAGUCCGCGGCCCAUUAGCUAGUUGGCGGGGUAAUGGCCCACCAAGGCGACGAUGGGUAGCUGGUCUGAGAGGAUGAUCAGCCACACUGGAACUGAGACACGGUCCAGACUCCUACGGGAGGCUG
rnacentral:rRNA from 1 species